GAUGAACGCUAGCUACAGGCUUAACACAUGCAAGUCGAGGGGCAGCAUGGUCUUAGCUUGCUAAGGCCGAUGGCGACCGGCGCACGGGUGAGUAACACGUAUCCAACCUGCCGUCUACUCUUGGACAGCCUUCUGAAAGGAAGAUUAAUACAAGAUGGCAUCAUGAGUCCGCAUGUUCACAUGAUUAAAGGUAUUCCGGUAGACGAUGGGGAUGCGUUCCAUUAGAUAGUAGGCGGGGUAACGGCCCACCUAGUCUUCGAUGGAUAGGGGUUCUGAGAGGAAGGGCCCCCACAUUGGAACUGAGACACGGUCCAAACUCCUACGGGAGGCAGCAGUGAGGAAUAUUGGUCAAUGGGCGCAGGCCUGAACCAGCCAAGUAGCGUGAAGGAUGACUGCCCUAUGGGUUGUAAACUUCUUUUAUAAAGGAAUAAAGUCGGGUAUGUAUACCCGUUUGCAUGUACUUUAUGAAUAAGGAUCGGCUAACUCCGUG
rnacentral:rRNA from 1 species